UUACGUACGGUACAAAAAGUCGCCAAGACCUUUCAUUCUUAUAAAAAAAAACGGUUUAUUAGGAAGUAUUUAAAAAGUUUUAAAAGCCGCUGUAGACAAGACAACAAUUAAUAGCACCGAAAUGUUUCGAAGGAUUCGUUGGCACUUGUGUACUUCACUAUACCUCUCAGCAGUUUGAUAUCAAUAAAAUAAAACUGAGCGAAUUUAAUUUCAACUCAGAUGGCAUCCCACCAGAAAGAAAUGAAAUCCCGAUCGACUUUAUCGAUAACAAAUAUUUUGGCAAUUCAAAAACGAUCUUGUUCUGGACGACUUUUUUUGGCGGGCACGUCUGGAGUAAAUUAAAAAUGGAUUUGAAUGAGGAAUGUCCCUCUCAUAACUGUCGGCUAGUCACCGAUCGACGGCUGUUGAACGAAAGCGACGCUGUAAUGUUUCACUUUUGGAAUGACAAGUUGGACCAGAUACCAACAUAUCGCAGACCAGACCAGCGUUACGUUUAUUUAAAUUUUGAAUCUCCCACUCGCAGUCGAAAUCAUUUCCCUUGGAAAAAGAUUCCCCGCGACUUCUUCAAUUUGACGGCCACUUAUCGACUCGACUCGGAUCUUUUUGGCAAUAUGUUUUAUGGCUUUACAUUUGAGCGAAAAGAAUCCGUCCAACCGAGAAGUGACGAUUUGACUAACUACUACGGCAUCAACAUUACGGCCAAGACGAAACUGGCGGCUUGGUUUGUUAGCAACUGCAAAACAUCGGUCAAUCGAGAGGGCUACGUCCGUG